rnacentral:rRNA from 1 species
UGUAUAAUGGGUCAGCGACUUAUAUUCUGUAGCAAGGUUAACCGAAUAGGGGAGCCGAAGGGAAACCGAGUCUUAACUGGGCGUUAAGUUGCAGGGUAUAGACCCGAAACCCGGUGAUCUAGCCAUGGGCAGGUUGAAGGUUGGGUAACACUAACUGGAGGACCGAACCGACUAAUGUUGAAAAAUUAGCGGAUGACUUGUGGCUGGGGGUGAAAGGCCAAUCAAACCGGGAGAUAGCUGGUUCUCCCCGAAAGCUAUUUAGGUAGCGCCUCGUGAAUUCAUCUCCGGGGGUAGAGCACUGUUUCGGCAAGGGGGUCAUCCCGACUUACCAACCCGAUGCAAACUGCGAAUACCGGAGAAUGUUAUCACGGGAGACACACGGCGGGUGCUAACGUCCGUCGUGAAGAGGGAAACAACCCAGACCGCCAGCUAAGGUCCCAAAGUCAUGGUUAAGUGGGAAACGAUGUGGGAAGGCCCAGACAGCCAGGAUGUUGGCUUAGAAGCAGCCAUCAUUUAAAGAAAGCGUAAUAGCUCACUGGUCGAGUCGGCCUGCGCGGAAGAUGUAACGGGGCUAAACCAUGCACCGAAGCUGCGGCAGCGACACUGUGUGUUGUUGGGUAGGGGAGCGUUCUGUAAGCCUGUGAAG